rnacentral:rRNA from 1 species
UACGGGGGGGAGCAAGCGUUGUUCGGAUUUACUGGGCGUAAAGGGCGCGUAGGCGGCCUGUUAAGUCGAACGUGAAAUCCCCGGGCUCAACCUGGGAACUGCAUUUGUGACUGCAUCGCUGGAGUGCGGCAGAGGGGGAUGGAAUUCCGCGUGUAGCAGUGAAAUGCGUAGAUAUGCGGAGGAACACCGAUGGCGAAGGCAAUCCCCUGGGCCUGCACUGACGCUCAUGCACGAAAGCGUGGGGAGCAAACAGGAAUUAGAUACCCCGUGUAA